rnacentral:rRNA from 1 species
GUCCUAGCCGUAAACGAUGGGCACUUGGUGUUGGGGUAUUGAGUCCCCCGGUGCCGGAGUUAACACGUUAAGUGCCCCGCCUGGGGAGUACGGUCGCAAGACUGAAACUCAAAGGAAUUGACGGGGCCCGCACAAGCGGUGGAGCAUGUGGUUCAAUUCGACGCAACGCGAAGAACCUUACCGGGGCUCGAACGGUAACUGCAAUUCCUGGAAAACAGGAAGUUCUCUUCGGAGACGGUUAUCGAGGUGCUGCAUGGCUGUCGU